ACGGCCAUACCUAGGAGAAAACACCAGUUCCCGUCCGAUCACUGCAGUUAAGCGUCUGAGGGCCUCGUUAGUACUAUGGUUGGAGACAACAUGGGAAUCCGGGGUGCUGUAGGCU
rnacentral:rRNA from 1 species